UUGGGUCGUAUGUGACCGAUGGUUAGCGAGCUCUCGUUUGGUCAUGUGUUACUAGCUAACGUAGCCUAGACUAGCUAGCUAGCUAGACAUUUGCACGCCAAAAGACAGGAAGUGAUCAACCAGUGUCCCAGUGUUGAAGACAUGAAAGACAGAUAGCCUGCUCUGUUUAGAAGCCUCUCAGGUGAGUCGGCAGGCAAAAAAAGAAAAUGCCAAAUGAUGUCUUCACUAUGACAAACCUCUUUGUUAUGAGCCUUGCUUGAUGAUAUUUCAGUAUUUGUCUUUCAGAUCAAUGAACAAUUCCACAGGCUCACCGCAAAGCAUCUUGAGGCAAGGUUUAUGCAGGACACCCCUAAGCUGCUGUCCUUAUUCCAUUCCAAGGGAGGAGUACUUUCAGACAGAUUGCGGGUCAUGCUGGAUGGAAGCUGAGGGGGGUCAUUUCCUGCAAGACCUUGCGCAACAUGUAAAGCAAAUCUAUGCGAUCAACAAGGAGGGUGCCGUGGCUAGUGAUGGUCCAGAGGAGCAGGUCAGGAACGGUGUCCUCUACCACAGGCCCGCUUGUUGUUGGUGAAGCCGCCUGGGGCACAGAAUCUGUGCUGGGACCAACCUCUGCCUACCGGGGGAUGGUCACCGAGAG